rnacentral:tRNA from 1 species
GUCCAGGGAUGGGAUUCGAACCCACAGUGUUCCGCUUACCGGGCAGAUGCCAUGUCCACUAGGCUACCCUGGA